rnacentral:rRNA from 1 species
CCUACGGGAGGCUGCAGUCGAGAAUCAUUCACAAUGGGGGAAACCCUGAUGGGGCGACGCCGCGUGGGGGAAUGAAGGUCUGCGGAUUGUAAACCCCUGUCAUGGGGGAGCAAAUUAAAAAGAGAGUACCACAAGAGGAAGAGACGGCUAACGCGGUGCCAGCAGCCGCGGUAAUACAGAGGUCUCAAGCGUUGUUCGGAAUCACUGGGCGUAACGCGUGCGGAGGCUGUUUCGUAAGGCGUGUGUGAAAGGCGCGGGCUCACCCCGCGGACGGCACAUGAUACUGCGAGACUAGAGUACUGGAGGGCGAACCGGAAUUCUCGGUGUAGCGGU